rnacentral:rRNA from 1 species
UUCGGUUAAGUCCGGCAACGAGCGCAACCCACAUCCCUAGUUGCCAGCAGUUCGGCUGGGCACUCUAUGGAAACUGCCCGUGAUAAGCGGGAGGAAGGUGUGGAUGACGUCAAGUCCUCAUGGCCCUUACGGGUUGGGCUACACACGUGCUACAAUGGUGGUGACAGUGGGUUAAUCCCCAAAAACCAUCUCAGUUCGGAUUGGGGUCUGCAACUCGACCCCAUGAAGUCGGAAUCGCUAGUAAUCGCGGAUCAGCACGCCGCGGUGAAUACGUUCACGGGUCUUGUACACACCGCCCGUCACACCAUGGGAGUGUAUUGCACCAGAAGUAGGUAGUCUAACCUUCGGGAGGGCGCUUACCACGGUGUGGUCCAUGACUGGGGUGAAGUCGUAACAAGGUAACCUA